UGAUAAUGGUAGUUACAUUUGACAACGUCUUCGAGGGUUGUGUGAGAGAGAGAUAAAGUGAUAGCGUCUUUGGGUUGAGAGUUUAAAUGUUUUUGUAUGGUUGAUAUGUUAUGUUUGGUGUUGCUGUAUAUGUAAGUGCGUAUGUGUUUUUCCGAAGAGUGUGAGUGAGUGAGUGCUCGAGAGAGAGAGAGAUCGUAAUUGGUGGGUGGAUAAUAAGGAGUAGUUUGAUGGCGGAUGUAAGCGUAUGAGUUGUCUGUUGGAGCAGUCGCCGAGAAUGUCAAUGGCGAGAGACUGUUACGGAGACGGUGAGUCGUGAGGAGUCAGUGAUAGUCAGAGCGGUUUUUUGGAAGAUAGUAUUGAUGGUGUAACCUUCAAAAAUGCAAAUCCUUGCUGGAGGCAGACAACUGGCAAAGGAGGAAAAAAAAAGAAAUUGCCUGGCCCACAGUAGCUGUACGUGCCACCAUGACACUUGGGAAGAUGACCCUAUAGAAAACGGAGUGGGCACCGACUACACCACCACCUACAAGGAUGCCCAGACAUAAUGCUCCAAAGCUACAUAAUGGCCCCACACACUGUCAGAUCGAGGUCACAAAUGCUCACAACUCGGAGGCAGCCAGAACACUGGCCGUCCUUCUCUUUUGACUGUCCCUUUUACUCCUUCCAUGUGCUCGUCCUCCUCCCUCCAUUGCAGACGCCCUAUCUAACAAGGAUAUCAUCAUCCAGACAAAGAUCAUCCUUGGCUGUGGAACCAAAUCUUCAGCUCUAUCCCAUGUGCAGUGACCUUAUGCUGCCCCUGAUUCUACGCCUCUGUGACGUCCCUUUUGUGAAGACAUCAUUGGCAUAGAAUAUUUAGUUUGUGUGUGAUCCAUUCAUUUAGCAGGACCUUGUUAUUACCUGCCUUGUAAUUCCUCAAUCUUCUGAUGUGUGUGUGCGUUAUGUAAAUAUAAUUAAA